ensembl:lncRNA
GGAUUCGCCGCCACAUCCCGGUACUCUUUUCUCCGCCGCCCUUGAAAGAGAACGUCCUAUGUGAAAGAUAGCACUAGUUGGUCCCUGGAGACUGCUGUCUGGUUGGAGAGUCACCUGCUCCCCUCCAUGGAGACAGACCAGACUGAUCAACAGUCGGCUGGAGGGAGUUGGUGGUUAUGGUUACAGAAGUCAUCAAAAGAGAGCGCCUGGGGAAUAGGAGUGGAGCUAGGCACUGCAGGUCUUGGAUUCACCUCUACAUCACCAGAGGAACAGAGGAGGAGUUGGUGGUUGACCCAUCAGAGGAGUUUUAUUAUGGAUGGCUACAGGUCAUGACCUUUCCCAUCUUCUACAUCUGGGUUCUCUUCAUCUGCAUAUGCUUACAUCAAAUGUAGGAGUGAAGCUAGGCACUGCAGGUCCUGGAUUAACCUCUACAUCACCAGAGGAACAGAGGAGGAGUUGGUGGUUGACCCAUCAGAGGAGUUUUAUUAUGGAUGGCUACAGGUUUCCUGGAGCACGCUUCCUGUUGAGGAAACGGCAGGAGAAGUUCCACCCCCAUUCAUUUCCAAUGAGGGCAUGCAGAGAAACGUGAGGGGGAUUGUGGGAAGCUGAGCGGUAAAGACCUCUGCUAGAGGAACGGUCGAAAAGGAUCAGUUUUAUUCAAAUUUCAAGCAAAGCGAAGCAUUGGAGAAAAGUGUGGUCAAGAGGAGGUACCGCCCCUGGUCAAAACCCACUGUCAGAGUAGGAGGUUCUGGUCUUUAUUCAGUCCAUGGCCACGUUUGGCUGGAGGUGCACGGGAAGCAGUUGACACUCACCAGGGGUUGACCCUCACCAGGGGUUGACCCUCACCAGGGGUUGAUCCUCACCAGGGGUUGACCCUCACCAGGGGUUGACCCUCACCAGAGGUUGACCCUCACCAGGGGUUGACCCUCACCAGGGGUUGAUCCUCACCAGGGGUUGACCCUCACCAGGGGUUGAUCC